rnacentral:rRNA from 1 species
GACGAACGCUGGCGGCGUGCUUAACACAUGCAAGUCGAACGGAAAGGCCCUGCUUUUGUGUGGUGCUCGAUUGGCGAGCGGGUGAGUAACACGUGAGUAACCUGCCCUUGACUUUGUGGUAACUUCAGGGAACUGGGGCUAAUACCGGAGAGGAGCUCCUGCUGCAUGGUGGUGGUUGGAAAGUGUCGGCUGUUGUGGCUGGACUUGCGGGUUAUCCGCUUGUUGGUGGGGUAGGGGCUUACCAAGGCUUUGACGGGUAGCCGGCAUGGGAGGGUGACCGGCGACAUUGGGACUGAGGUACGGACCAGUCGCCUACGGGAGGCAGUAGGCGGGAACAUGGCAGAACGGGGGGAAGCCUGAUGCAGAAGUGCUGCGUGCGUGAUGAUGGGUUUUGGGUGGUAAACCGAUUUCUCAGGUGACGAAGCGUGAGUGACGGUACCGGGUAAAGAAGCACCGGCUAACUACGUG